UGGUUACUGGGUUUCGCUCUACACCCUUUGUGACAUACCUAUAACUGUUGCUUCGGCGGGUAGGGUCUCCGUGACCCUCCCGGCCUCCCGCCCCCGGGCGGGUCGGCGCCCGCCGGAGGAUAACCAAACUCUGAUUUAACGACGUUUCUUCUGAGUGGUACAAGCAAAUAAUCAAAACUUUUAACAACGGAUCUCUUGGUUCUGGCAUCGAUGAAGAACGCAGCGAAAUGCGAUAAGUAAUGUGAAUUGCAGAAUUCAGUGAAUCAUCGAAUCUUUGAACGCACAUUGCGCCCGCCAGCAUUCUGGCGGGCAUGCCUGUUCGAGCGUCAUUUCAACCCUCAAGCUCUGCUUGGUGUUGGGGCCCUACAGCUGAUGUAGGCCCUCAAAGGUAGUGGCGGACCCUCCCGGAGCCUCCUUUGCGUAGUAACUUUACGUCUCGCACUGGGAUCCGGAGGGACUCUUGCCGUAAAACCCCCAAUUCUCCAAAGGUUGACCUCGGAUCAGGUAGGAAUACCCGCUGAACUUAAGCAUAUCAAUAAGUCGGAGGAAA
rnacentral:sRNA from 1 species